rnacentral:rRNA from 1 species
UACAGAGGUCUCAAGCGUUGUUCGGAUUCAUUGGGCGUAAAGGGUGCGUAGGCGGCGCGGUAAGUCGGGUGUGAAUCUCGGAGCUUAACUCCGAAACUGCAUUCGAUACUGCCGUGCUUGAGGACUGGAGAGGAGACUGGAAUUUACGGUGUAGCGGUGAAAUGCGUAGAUAUCGUAAGGAAGACCAGUGGCGAAGGCGGGUCUCUGGACAGUUCCUGACGCUGAGGCACGAAGGCCAGGGGAGCAAACAGG